UGCCUAAUACAUGCAAGUCGAGCGAACAGACGAGGAGCUUGCUCCUCUGANGUUAGCGGCGGACGGGUGAGUAACACGUGGAUAACCUACCUAUAAGACUGGGAUAACUUCGGGAAACCGGAGCUAAUACCGGAUAACAUGUUGAACCGCAUGGUUCAACAGUGAAAGACGGUCUUGCUGUCACUUAUAGAUGGAUCCGCGCCGCAUUAGCUAGUUGGUAAGGUAACGGCUUACCAAGGCAACGAUGCGUAGCCGACCUGAGAGGGUGAUCGGCCACACUGGAACUGAGACACGGUCCAGACUCCUACGGGAGGCAGCAGUAGGGAAUCUUCCGCAAUGGGCGAAAGCCUGACGGAGCAACGCCGCGUGAGUGAAGAAGGUCUUCGGAUCGUAAAACUCUGUUAUUAGGGAAGAACAAAUGUGUAAGUAACUAUGCACGUCUUGACGGUACCUAAUCAGAAAGCCACGGCUAACUACGUGCCAGCAGCCGCGGUAAUACGUAGGUGGCAAGCGUUAUCCGGAAUUAUUGGGCGUAAAGCGCGCGUAGGCGGUUUUUUAAGUCUGAUGUGAAAGCCCACGGCUCAACCGUGGAGGGUCAUUGGAAACUGGAAAACUUGAGUGCAGAAGAGGAAAGUGGAAUUCCAUGUGUAGCGGUGAAAUGCGCAGAGAUAUGGAGGAACACCAGUGGCGAAGGCGACUUUCUGGUCUGUAACUGACGCUGAUGUGCGAAAGCGUGGGGAUCAAACAGGAUUAGAUACCCUGGUAGUCCACGCCG
rnacentral:rRNA from 1 species